AUUGAACGCUGGCGGCAUGCCUUACACAUGCAAGUCGAACGGUAACAGGUUAAGCUGACGAGUGGCGAACGGGUGAGUAAUAUAUCGGAACGUGCCCAGUCGUGGGGGAUAACUGCUCGAAAGAGCAGCUAAUACCGCAUACGACCUGAGGGUGAAAGCGGGGGAUCGCAAGACCUCGCGCGAUUGGAGCGGCCGAUAUCAGAUUAGGUAGUUGGUGGGGUAAAGGCCUACCAAGCCUACGAUCUGUAGCUGGUCUGAGAGGACGACCAGCCACACUGGGACUGAGACACGGCCCAGACUCCUACGGGAGGCAGCAGUGGGGAAUUUUGGACAAUGGACGCAAGUCUGAUCCAGCCAUGCCGCGUGCGGGAAGAAGGCCUUCGGGUUGUAAACCGCUUUUGUCAGGGAAGAAACGCUCUGGGUUAAUACCUCGGGGUAAUGACGGUACCUGAAGAAUAAGCACCGGCUAACUACGUGCCAGCAGCCGCCGUAAUAC
rnacentral:rRNA from 1 species